rnacentral:rRNA from 1 species
CGUGUCGUGAGAUGUUGGGUUAAGUCCCGCAACGAGCGCAACCCUCGUUCCAUGUUGCCAGCACGUAAUGGUGGGGACUCAUGGGAGACUGCCGGGGUCAACUCGGAGGAAGGUGGGGAUGACGUCAAGUCAUCAUGCCCCUUAUGUCCAGGGCUUCACGCAUGCUACAAUGGCCGGUACAAAGGGCUGCGAUCCCGUGAGGGGGAGCGAAUCCCAAAAAGCCGGUCUCAGUUCGGAUUGGGGUCUGCAACUCGACCCCAUGAAGUCGGAGUCGCUAGUAAUCGCAGAUCAGCAACGCUGCGGUGAAUACGUUCCCGGGCCUU